rnacentral:rRNA from 1 species
GUAUAAAGUGGCGAACGGCUGAGUAACACGUGGGCAACCUGCCCUUUGCACUGGGAUAGCCUCGGGAAACCGAGGUUAAUACCGGAUACUCCAUAUUUGUCGCAUGGCGAAUAUGGGAAAGCUCCGGCGGCAAAGGAUGGGCCCGCGGCCUGUUAGCUAGUUGGUGGGGUAGUGGCCUACCAAGGCAAUGAUGGGUAGCCGGGUUGAGAGACCGACCGGCCAGAUUGGGACUGAGACACGGCCCAGACUCCUACGGGAGGCAGCAGUC